AUUGAACGCUGGCGGCAUGCUUUACACAUGCAAGUCGAACGGCAGCACAGGGAGCUUGCUCCCGGGUGGCGAGUGGCGCACGGGUGAGUAAUACAUCGGAACGUGUCCUGUUGUGGGGGAUAACUGCUCGAAAGGGUGGCUAAUACCGCAUGAGACCUGAGGGUGAAAGCGGGGGAUCGCAAGACCUCGCGCAAUUGGAGCGGCCGAUGCCCGAUUAGCUAGUUGGUGGGGUAAAGGCUCACCAAGGCGACGAUCGGUAGCUGGUCUGAGAGGACGACCAGCCACACUGGGACUGAGACACGGCCCAGACUCCUACGGGAGGCAGCAGUGGGGAAUUUUGGGACAAUGGGGGGCAACCCUGAUCCAGCCAUGCCGCGUGCAGGAUGAAGGCCUUCGGUUGUAACUGCUUUGUCAGGGACGAAAAGGACCGUGUUAAUACCAUGGUCUGCUGACGGUACCUGAAGAAUAAGCACCGG
rnacentral:rRNA from 1 species